rnacentral:rRNA from 1 species
AUACGAAAGGUGCAAGCGUUGUUCGGAUUUACUGGGCGUAAAGAGAGUGUAGGUGGUUUAUUAAGUCGGAUGUGAAAUCCCGGGGCUCAACCUCGGAACUGCAUUCGAUACUGAUAGGCUAGAGUUUGGGAGGGGUAAGCGGAAUUCCGUGUGUAGCAGUGAAAUGCGUAGAUAUACGGAGGAACACCUGAGGCGAAGGCGGCUUACUGGACCGAUACUGACACUGAGACUCGAAAGCGUGGGUAGCAAACAGGAUUAGAUACCCUAGUAGUCC